rnacentral:rRNA from 1 species
AGCGUAGACGGUGUGGCAAGUCUGAUGUGAAAGGCAUGGGCUCAACCUGUGGACUGCAUUGGAAACUGUCAUACUUGAGUGCCGGAGGGGUAAGCGGAAUUCCUAGUGUAGCGGUGAAAUGCGUAGAUAUUAGGAGGAACACCAGUGGCGAAGGCGGCUUACUGGACGGUAACUGACGUUGAGGCUGAAAGCGUGGGGAGCAAACA